rnacentral:rRNA from 1 species
UACGUAGGGGGCAAGCGUUGUCCGGAUUUACUGGGCGUAAAGAGCGUGUAGGCGGCCAAACAGGUCCGUUGUGAAAACUCGAGGCUCAACCUCGAGACGCCGGUGGAAACCAUCUAGCUAGAGUCCGGAAGAGGAGAGUGGAAUUCCUGGUGUAGCGGUGAAAUGCGCAGAUAUCAGGAAGAACACCCGUGGCGAAGGCGGCUCUCUGGGACGUGACUGACGCUGAGACGCGAAAGCGUGGGGAGCGAACAGG